CCUCACGACCUCACCACCGGGAGCAGUAACGCGGAGGAGUUGCGGUGGCGCGUCGGCGGUGGCCAGGAGUCGGCGCGUCGGCGGUGGCCAGAAGGCGGUGGCCACGGGGUGGCACGGCGGCAGGGCUGCGGCCGCGGGGCGGCGAGUCGGCUGACGUCUUCACUCCCUCCGACGAACGGCGACGGUGCGUGCCUCCCUCUGUCUCUGCAAUUCUCUCUCGGGGGGCAUCGGGGCCCCGUUCGGGGGCGGGGAUCCGGCGGGGCCGGGGGCGUUCUAGCACUCCCCGUCCCCGUCUCACCCCGUUGCCAACCCUAGAAAUCACGCCACUGCUUUGUCCGGUGGAAUUCCACCAUCGACGCCGCGAGAAAAAAGCACGAGGAUGCCGCGAGAAAAAAUCUUCGACCAGCGCCGCCACCCCCUCGACCUCCGUCGAUGUCGUCACCCCCUUCUAUGCUCGUCGGCGCCGCCUGACCUCCCUCCAUGUCCGCCGGCCGUGCCGCCUCUCCUUCCACAUCCAUCGGUCGAGCAGCGGGCUAGGUACAUCGACGGGUGUGGUGGCGGCGGCGGCAGUGGGGGAGGAGGUAGGUGUGGAGCACGGGACCUUUCCGAUCGUGCAGCUCCAGCUUCUUUAUGCUUUUCUGCCAUGAGGAGAGGUGUUGAUUCGAGAGCUUGGUCCACGGUUUGAUAAUUUAGGGCUGCACUGCGUUGGUUUGUAUGGUGUACACACGCCCUUUUAUUUGCUAUACCAGGAAUGUGUUGCUUUGGACCAACACAUUUUUUUGUUAGGUCGGUCUUAUGGUAUAGUUAUCAAGACUGUAAACUAGCUAACCGAGCUAAAUGAGUUUUAUAGGGAUGAAAUUCCUCUCUCAUCUCAUGAAACUCUCUCAUUUAAUGACCCUGCAAGUCAGCAAUUUUAUUGAUGUGACCCUAUUUAAUGUGCAUGACACCAUUAUGAAACAUUCAUUGAGACUAGCCUUAGUAGAGAGCACUCUUGAGUCAAUCAAGCUCAAAUAUUAGUAAUUUGGAUUCAGUUAAUGUAAUUCUAUUUUGUAAUAUUUAUGGUUAGUUGUAAACUUCUAAUGUUAGUUGCAAAUAUUUUCUAGACUAUUUUAAUGAUUACCAGUU